AGCGGCGGACGGGUGAGUAACGCGUGGGUAACCUGCCCCAUACAGGGGGAUAACAGUUAGAAAUGACUGCUAAUACCGCAUAAGACCACAGCACCGCAUGGUGCGGGGGUAAAAACUCCGGUGGUAUGAGAUGGACCCGCGUCUGAUUAGCUAGUUGGUAAGGUAACGGCUUACCAAGGCGACGAUCAGUAGCCGACCUGAGAGGGUGACCGGCCACAUUGGGACUGAGACACGGCCCAA
rnacentral:rRNA from 1 species